AAUUUAAAAACUCUAAACUAUAGUUUAUCUGUACUAUUUUAUGCUUAAAAAACUAAUUAUACUGUUUAAUAGUUCAGUUUAAAUAUACUGAACUUAUUUUAUUUUCAGUAUAGUUAACUGUGCUUUAGGUUUUCUAUCUUAUGCUUUCUCGCUAUCACAAUUUUCUCCUACAUUCCUUUCUCAUUAAAGGCUCGUUACUGUUGAAGGGUCGCUGCAGGUCGAAGGCUCGCCGCUCUGCUGUAGCGGAACCGUUGAGGGUGCUGAGAACACUCUGCAACCCAAAGCUGUAGAUCUGUAUCAAGUAGUCAAGGCAAAGUCAAGAUCCGUAUGCCCAGAUUUGCAAAAAACAAAAUGGUUUAAUAUGAUCGAGAGUAGACAAUUUCAAUACGUGAGAAACUUGUUUUUUUUAUAUACAAGCAUCACCUGGUGGGAUAAAGUUUGUUUGUUGUUAAUACUGAAGUAAAGACCAUAAUUUAGUGGCUUGCAGCUUCUCAGGUAAUUUUAUAAUUUUACCUAUUAUUGUAUCAGGUAAUUUUAGGAAUCCCAUUUUUUUUGUGAUAAACAAUACGUUCUUGAUGAAAAUGUUGUGGCAUACAAUUCAUGAUUUAAUUAGUUUCUGUAUUUGAUUUCUUUCUCUUUUCUGGAUGAUCAAUGUGAUUGAAGUAUUGAAAUUUUGAUAGGCGAAGGAUCACCAAAAUCACCAUAUUGACAAAAAUAUAAGGUUGUGAUUAAUUAUGCUAACUAUUUGUUGUUGAUACAUGCUAACCAUUGCUCCCCUCUCAUAAAAGAGGGCCUCACAGUGGGUUCCAGUGAUAUGGGAAACUCUUUUCUUAUUAGAUUAUGUGGCUAUUUUGACUUUUGUUUAUUAUCUAGGCACUUACUUUUGUUUCACUUUUUAUCUUAUGUUUUUUAGUGUAUGACAAGUUUGUUAUUAUUUAUAUGUAUGUGUGUGUGUAAUAUAUGAAUGUGUAUGAGUAUGUGUGUGUAUUAUGUGUGUGUGUUUGUGUGUUUGUUUGUGUCUGCGGGGUGGUUUUGUGUGGGGGGGGAGGGGGGUUGUGUGUGUAUGUGUAUGUGUUUGUGUGAGUGUGUGUGUGUGUUUGGGCAUGUUUCGGUGUGUUUUUGGGUGAGUGUGUUUGCGUGCAUAAUAUGUUUGUGCGUGGGUGUGUUUUUACAGUUGAGUGUGUGUGUUUAUGUGUAAUAUGUGUGUAUGAGUGUGUGUUGGUGUGCGUGUGUGUGUGUCAGUUUUUGUGUGUGCUUUUGUGUAAUGUGUGCUUGUGGGGUUGUAUGUGUUUGUGUGUGUGCGUUUGUUUGGGUUUGUGUGAGUGUGUGUUUCUGUGUGUGUGUGUGUGUCUUUUUAUGUGUGUGUGUUUGUUUUUAUAUUUAUGUGAGUGUAUGUGUUUUUGUCUCUGUGUGCCUAUGUGCGUGUGUAUGUUUAUAUGUAUGUUUCUGUGUUUUUGUUGUGUGGGUGUGUUUGUAUGUGUGUGAGUGUGUUGGUAUGUGUGUGUGUGUGUUUUUAUAAGGUUGUAUGUAUGUAGUUGUUUGUCCUUGUGUGUUAGUGAAUGAGUGUGUGUUUGUGUGUAUUUAUAAGGUUGUGUUUGUGUAGUUGUUUGUUUGUGUGUUUGUGUAGUUGUUUGUCUGUGUGUUAGUGUGUUAGUGUGUGUGUGUGUAUGAGUGUGUGUAUGAGUUUGGGUUAUGGUAGAGUGAGGUGGUGUGAGGUUGGGUUGUGUUGGGGUAGGGUAGGGUUGGGUUUGAUUGAGUUAUGUGUGGUGUGGUUGGGUUGGCCUUGCUUCUGUUUCGUUGGGUUGAGUUGGGUUAGGUGAGGUUGGUUGGGGAUGGGUUGGGUAGAGUUGGGUUGGGAUGGGUUAGUUUGGGUGAGGUUCUGUUGGGUUGGGUGAGAGUGCCUUGGGUUAGGUGGACUUGGUGGGGUUAGGUUGGAUAUGGUUGGGUGGGGUAGGGUUGGGUUGGGUGAGAUUGGGUGGGGUUGGGCUAGGUGAUGGCUGGGUUUGGUGGAGUUGGGUUGGCAUUGGUUGCGUAGGUUGUGGUUGGGUUGGGUCGAGUUGGGUGGUUUUGGGUUGGGUUAUGUUAAGGUGGGGAUGGGGUUGGGUUUGGUUGGAGUUUGGUUGUUUUGGGGUUGGGGAUAGGUUGUAGGUUGUGUUGGGUUGGAUUGGGUUUGGUUGGAUUGAGUUAUUUUUUACUCAGUUCAACGUGGUUCGGUUGGAUUGGGUCAUUUUGAUUUGAUUCGGUUUUGUUGCGUUGGGUUGCGUUGGGUUUGAUUCACACCGUACACCGUACACUGUACACCGUAUACCGUUCACCCUACACCAUACACCCUAAUAUAAAGUAUCAUAAUUGCACUCCAUUCAAAAGAUAAAACAAAAAAAUAAUAAGGAUAUAUGUUUACCAAAAUUGAAAAAAAAAAAUUUACAUGAAGUGCAAUCAUGGAAAUCUCUAUCAAAUUUGUCAACAGAAACCAUAAUAUUUACAAUUCAUGUAGUAUGUCCCAAAAUUGUUAACUUAAAAAUUAGAAAUCCAGAAAAAAAGACAAAAGUCCAUAUAUAUAAUGAAAGCAACUGUUGCAGUUUGAGUCUAUUACUUACAUCACAAGAG